rnacentral:rRNA from 1 species
GACGAACGCUGGCGGCGUGCCUAAUACAUGCAAGUAGAACGCUGAAGAGAGGAGCUUGCUCUUCUUGGAUGAGUUGCGAACGGGUGAGUAACGCGUAGGUAACCUGCCUUGUAGCGGGGGAUAACUAUUGGAAACGAUAGCUAAUACCGCAUAACAAUGGAUGACACAUGUCAUUUAUGUGAAAGGGGCAAUUGCUCCACUACAAGAUGGACCUGCGUUGUAUUAGCUAGUAGGUGAGGUAAUGGCUCACCUAGGCGACGAUACAUAGCCGACCUGGGAGGGUGAUCUGCCACACUGGGACUGAGACACGGCCCAGACUCCUACGGGAGGCAGCAGUAGGGAAUCUUCGGCAAUGGGGGCAACACUGACCGAGCAACGCCGCGUGAGUGAAGAAGGUUUUCGGGUCGUGAAGCUCUGUUGUAAGUCAAGAACGGGUGUGAGAGUGGAAAGUUCACACUGUGACGGUAGCUUACCAGAAAGGGACGGCUAACUACGUG